rnacentral:rRNA from 1 species
AGUGAACGCUGGCGGUAGGCCUAACACAUGCAAGUCGAACGGCAGCACAGUAAGAGCUUGCUCUUACGGGUGGCGAGUGGCGGACGGGUGAGGAAUACAUCGGAAUCUACUUUUUCGUGGGGGAUAACGUAGGGAAACUUACGCUAAUACCGCAUACGACCUACGGGUGAAAGCAGGGGAUCUUCGGACCUUGCGCGAUUGAAUGAGCCGAUGUCGGAUUAGCUAGUUGGCGGGGUAAAGGCCCACCAAGGCGACGAUCCGUAGCUGGUCUGAGAGGAUGAGCAGCCACACUGGAACUGAGACACGGUCCAGACUCCUACGGGAGGCAGCAGUGGGGAAUAUUGGACAAUGGGCGCAAGCCUGAUCCAGCAAUACCGCGUGGGUGAAGAAGGCAUUCGGGUUGUAAAGACCUUUUGUUGGGAAAGAAAAGCAGCAGGUUAAUACCCCGCUGUUCUGACGGUACCCAAAGAAUAAGCACCGGCUAACUUCGUG